rnacentral:lncRNA from 1 species
UCAGCUAGGCGCUGGCGCCACCUAGUGUUGGCAGCAUUUUAACGGCUAUUUACUUGUAUCUGUAGUCACCAACUUCCACUGACUCCUCGAGCCCCGGAGCUCAGAGGGGAUUUGUCCAACAGUAGGACAGAAUUGGACCAAGAACUCAGUCUCCAGUCCUAGGGCCCAUCCAGAGCAACUUGGUUGACAACUGUGUGUGGGCUCCAACACAGAAGACAGCGACCUUCACAUGCAAGAUAUUUUUAAGACUCUGUGUACGAGGUGCUGCUGAGUUUAUUGUUUUCCAUACCUGGGUUCUGAGAGUUUGAGAGAAUUCAAUAUAAUUUCAGGAAUAU